CAUUGAGUUAACAAUUAUAGCAAAGUAGAUUUAGCACUAUCUCCUGUUAGCCUUUUGUUUGUUUGAUAACUGUUCUUUGGCAUGGAUCAUCGAUUAGAUUUAGACUUGAUAAACUGAUUUAUUCUGGUGACAGUAUCAAGGGGAGCACGGAUGGAAGCCAUCAAAUUACACUGGCCUAUGUGAAAAGAUUUUGGCUAAAAGCCAAACUGUGUCUGUGUUUUUUCUU